rnacentral:rRNA from 1 species
GAUCCUGGCUCAGGAUGAACGCCAGCUACAGGCUUAACACAUGCAAGUCGAGGGGCAGCAUUUUUAUAGCAAUAUAAAAGAUGGCGACCGGCGCACGGGUGAGUAACACGUAUCCAACCUGCCGUCUACUCUUGGACAGCCUUCUGAAAGGAAGAUUAAUACAAGAUGGCAUCAUGAGUCCGCAUGUUCACAUGAUUAAAGGUAAUUCCGGUAGACGAUGGGGAGUGCG